ensembl:lncRNA
GUGCAAGCCAGUUUAAUGACCCUAUUAUGAUGUCAUAAUGGCCCAAUGUAAGUCAAUGGGAAAAUUUGUAUUAGUUUUUCUUUAAUAUCUUAAAAAGUAUAAAGUUUAGAAAAGUGAAAAAUACAUAGCAUAAGUGUCCUUUACAAGACCUACGCGCCAAAGUUUGAACGAAGUUUUUAAGUUAAGCGGUUCAAGCUGAAUUAAGCGCAGAAGUUCGGUAAAGAGAAUAAUAAGAAGAAGAAGAAGAAGAACUAGAAAAUGCAUUUCCUGAAGGAAAUACCAGUGCAUGAAAUGCAAAAGUUAAGAAAGGAAGAAGAAAAGAAAGAAGAGUGAAAUAAGGAAAGAAGAAAGGAAAGAAGAGUAAAAGAAGGAAAGAAGAAAGGAAAGAAGAGUGAAGAAAGGAAAGAAGAGUGGAAGAAGAAAAGAAAGAAGGAAAGAAGAAAGGAAAGUAGAGUAAAAGAAGGAAAGAAGAGUGAAGAAAGAAAAGAAGAGUAGAAGAAGGAAAGAAGAGUGGAAGAAGGAAAGAAUAAAGGAAAGAAUAGUGAAGAAAGGAAAGAAGAAAAGAAAGAAGAGUGAAAGAAGGAAAGAAGAAAGGAAAGAAGAGUGAAGAAAGGAAAGAAGAGUGGAAGAAGAAAAGAAAGAAGGAAAGAAGAAAGGAAAGUAGAGUAAAAGAAGGAAAGAAGAGUGAAGAAAGAAAAGAAGAGUAGAAGAAGGAAAGAAGAGUGGAAGAAGGAAAGAAGAAAGGAAAGGAGAGUGGAAGAAGGAAAGAAGAAGGGAAGAAGGAAAGAAGAAAAGAAAGAAGAGUGAAGAAAGGAAAGAAGAAGGAAAGAGGAAAAAAAGAAAAGUAUAAGAAGGAAAGAAGAAAGGAAAGAAGAGUGGAAGAAGUAAAGAAGAAGGAAAGAAGAAAAGAAAGAAGAGUGAAGAAAGAAAAGAAGAGUGGAAGAAGGAAAGAAGAAAAAAAAGAAAAGUGAAAGAAGGAAAGAAGAGUGAAAGAAGGAAAAAAGAGUGGAAGAAGGAAAGAAAGAAGAGUGAAAGAAGGAAAGAAGAGUGGAAGAAGGAAAGAAGAAAAGAAAGAAGAGAGAAAGAAGGAAAGAAGAGUGGAAGAAGGAAAGAAGAAAGGAAAGAAGAGUGGAAGAAGGAAAGAAGAGUGGAAGAAGAGUGAAGAAAGAAAAGAAGAGUAGAAGAAGGAAAGAAGACUGGAAGAAGGAAAGAAGAGUGAAGAAAGAAAAGAAGAGUAGAAGAAGGAAAGAAGAGUGGAAGAAGGAAAGAAGAAAGGAAAGAAGAGUGAAGAAAGGAAAGAAGAAAAGAAAGAUGAAGGAAAGAAGAGUGAAGAAAGAAAAGAAGAGUAGAAGAAGGAAAGAAGAGUGGAAGAAGGAAAGAAGAGUGAAGAAAGAAAAGAAGAGUAGAAGAAGGAAAGAAGAGUGGAAGAAGGAAAGAAGAAAGGAAAGGAGAGUGGAAGAAGGAAAGAAUAAUAUUCCUAGUUAUACAGUUGAAUGGAGAGGGACAGAGAGAAGAGGAGCCUUGGAACCUUGGCGCAGGUGUCAGUGAAGCACAGGUGCAAGCCAGUUUAAAGACCCUAUUAUGAUGUCAUAAUGGCCCAAUGUAAGUCAAUGGGAGAAAUUGUAUUAGUUUUUAUUUAACAUUUUAAAAAGUAUAAAGUUUAGAAAAAUGAAAAAUACAUAGCAUAAGUGUCCUUUACAAGACCUACGCAGCAAAGUUUGAACAAAGUUUCUAAGUUAAG